CGAACGCUGGCGGCGUGCUUAACACAUGCAAGUCGAACGGAAAGGCCCUGCUUUUGUGGGGUGCUCGAGUGGCGAACGGGUGAGUAACACGUGAGUAACCUGCCCUUGACUUUGGGAUAACUUCAGGAAACUGGGGCUAAUACCUGAUAGGAGCUCCUGCUGCAUGGUGGGGGUUGGAAAGUUUCGGCGGUUGGGGAUGGACUCGCGGCUUAUCAGCUUGUUGGUGGGGUAGUGGCUUACCAAGGCUUUGACGGGUAGCCGGCCUGAGAGGGUGACCGGCCACAUUGGGACUGAGAUACGGCCCAGACUCCUACGGGAGGCAGCAGUGGGGAAUAUUGCACAAUGGGCGGAAGCCUGAUGCAGCAACGCCGCGUGCGGGAUGACGGCCUUCGGGUUGUAAACCGCUUUCGCCUGUGACGAAGCGUGAGUGACGGUAAUGGGUAAAGAAGCACCGGCUAACUACGUG
rnacentral:rRNA from 1 species